rnacentral:rRNA from 1 species
UAAUGGCUCACCAAGGCGACGAUCGGUAGCUGGUCUGAGAGGAUGACCAGCCUCACUGGGACUGAUACACGGCCCAGACUCCUACAGACAGAGAGAAUAUUGGACAAGGGGCGCAUGCCUGAUCCAAGACGUUUGAGUGACGAAGGCCUUAGGGUUGUAAAACUCUUUCGCCGGGGACGAUGAUGGCGGUGGCCGGAGAAGAAGCUCCUGCUAACUUCGUCGCGGUUUUACGAAGGGAGCUAGCGUUGUUCGGAAUUACUGGGCGUAAAGCGCACGUAGGCGGAUUUGCCAGUCAGGGGUGAAAUCCCGAGGCUCAACCUCGGAACUGCCUCCGAUACAGCAAGUCUUGAGGAUGAGAGAGGUUGGUGGAAUUCCUAGUGUAGAGGUGAAAUU